AUUGAACACAACUCGAGACUUUCGAAACCUCCCACUCAGUAUCGGAUGAAUAACACAGUUUGAUGUUUUGCUUGUUCUGCUGACGGACACGUUAAAGACGUCUGCGCUCCCGUUUCUGUGCAUGUCCAGCAUGAGACAACUGGAAUUCAACCACAUUGAACACCGACUUCAGGGACAGACGAGCCUGAAGGACACAGCUGUGAUGACCAUGUUCUGUCUCUUAUGGCAAAGCAGAAAUAUAAAACACUGGGUUCUUAUCUAAAGUGUAUCAAAUCAGAUCUCCACCAUGUUGCUGCUGAGGACAUCAGGUGCUGCAGUUCUUCAUCUAUGAAGAGAAAAAACGCACUGUUAAAGAAUGUUUUGUGUUGUGUAUAAAGCACAACAGAUUUCAGAUAGAACUGUUGUACUGUGGUCUUGGUUUAUAUCCUCAUGGUGAAAUGUACAUAUUUUAAGUCCCUUCUGAUAAAAGUGCUGAAAGAAAUACAACAUUGUACAAAUACAUAAAAUGUCUUUCUACCUCAUCAGUACUAUUCAAGGUGAUAAUCUCCCACAGACCUAUUGAUAACAGUCCAAAUCAAGUCUUUCCACUUCUCUCAGUGUGAAAACAUAAUUCUAUAAUUAAUUUGAGAACUGUUUACAACACUGAUGUGUGGAGAUUAAAAUCAUACCUAAACUGUCUAAUUCACUGUAAAACUCCAUGACAUUCGCAGGCCAUCUGUAGUUAAGGGAGCAACGCAUGGAAUGAUGUGUAGAUUACUAGUUUGAUGAUGCAUGAGGAGAGGCGGUGGUCGAGUGGCAGAAACUUGGACUAUGGGCAGAGAAGGUCUCUGGUUCGUCUUUGGUUCGACUCCAUGGAGAGACAACAAAAGUCGAACCUGGAUUGAUCUGUCCAAAAAUCCAAGAGUCUCCCUACCCUCUCUAGUGCCCAUGAGCAAGGCACCUCACUCCCCCAACAUCUGCUCCCCCGAGCGCCGUACAUGGUCGCUCACUGCUCUGUGUGUCCUGCACCAGAUGGGUAAAAAGCAGCGAUUAAAUUUCCCUACCUGCAUGAGUGUGCCUUUGCAUGUCUGUGCAUGUGUUUGGGAUGAAU